rnacentral:rRNA from 1 species
UACGGAGGGGGCUAGCGUUGUUCGGAAUUACUGGGCGUAAAGCGCGCGUAGGCGGAUCUGCAAGUCGGGGGUGAAAUCCCGAGGCUCAACCUCGGAACUGCCUUCGAUACUGCGGGUCUCGAGUCCGGGAGAGGUGAGUGGAAUUCCUAGUGUAGAGGUGAAAUUCGUAGAUAUUAGGAAGAACACCAGUGGCGAAGGCGGCUCACUGGCCCGGUACUGACG